GAUGAACGCUGGCGGCGUGCCUAAUACAUGCCAGUCGAGCGAACGGACGAGAAGCUUGCUUUUCUGAUGUUAGCGGCGGACGGGUGAGUAACACGUGGAUAACCUACCUAUAAGACUGGGAUAACUUCGGGAAACCGGAGCUAAUACCGGAUAAUAUUUUGAACCGCAUGGUUCAAAAGUGAAAGACGGUCUUGCUGUCACUUAUAGAUGGAUCCGCGCUGCAUUAGCUAGUUGGUAAGGUAACGGCUUACCAAGGCAACGAUGCAUAGCCGACCUGAGAGGGUGAUCGGCCACACUGGAACUGAGGCACGGUCCAGACUCCUACGGGAGGCAGCAGUAGGGAGUCUUCCGCAAUGGGCGAAAGCCUGACGGAGCAACGCCGCGUGAGUGAUGAAGGUCUUCGGAUCGUAAAACUCUGUUAUUAGGGAAGAACAUAUGUGUAAGUAACUGUGCACAUCUUGACGGUACCUAAUCAGAAAGCCACGGCUAACUACGUG
rnacentral:rRNA from 1 species